UACGUAGGGGGCAAGCGUUGUCCGGAUUCAUUGGGCGUAAAGAGCAUGUAGGCGGCCAGGUAGGUCCGUUGUGAAAACUCGAGGCUCAACCUCGAGACGUCGAUGGAAACCAUCUGGCUAGAGUCCGGAAGAGGAGAGUGGAAUUCCUGGUGUAGCGGUGAAAUGCGCAGAUAUCAGGAAGAACACCUAUGGCGAAGGCAGCUCUCUGGGACGGUACUGACGCUGAGACGCGAAAGCGUGGGGUGCGAACAGG
rnacentral:rRNA from 1 species